rnacentral:misc_RNA from 1 species
GAUGAAGAACGCAGCGAAAUGCGAUAAGUAAUGUGAAUUGCAGAAUUCAGUGAAUCAUCGAAUCUUUGAACGCACAUUGCGCCCCCUGGUAUUCCGGGGGGCAUGCCUGUCCGAGCGUCAUUACAACCCUCAAGCUCAGCUUGGUAUUGGGCCCCGCCGCCCCGGCGGGCCCUAAAGUCAGUGGCGGUGCCGUCCGGCUCCGAGCGUAGUAAUUCUUCUCGCUCUGGAGGUCCGGUCGUGUGCUCGCCAGCAACCCCCAAUUUUUUUCAGGUUGACCUCGGAUCAGGUAGGGAUACCCGCUGAACUUAAGCAUAUCAAUAAGCGGAGGA